AUUGAACGCUGGCGGCAGGCCUAACACAUGCAAGUCGAGCGAGCGGCGGACGGGUGAGUAAUGUAUGGGGAACUGCCUGAUGGCGGGGGAUAACUACUGGAAACGGUAGCUAAUACCGCAUACCAUCAGAUGAACCCAGAUGGGAUUAGCUAGUAGGUAAGGUAACGGCUUACCUAGGCGACGAUCCCUAGCUGGUCUGAGAGGAUGAUCAGCCACACUGGAACUGAGACACGGCCCAGACUCCUACGGGAGGCAGCAGUGGGGAAUAUUGCACAAUGGGCGCAAGCCUGAUGCAGCCAUGCCGCGUGUAUGAAGAAGGCCUUCGGGUUGUAAAGUACUUUCAGUGGGGAGGCGUUACCCACAGAAGAAGCACCGGCUAACUCCGUGCCAGCAGCCGCGGUAAUAC
rnacentral:rRNA from 1 species